GACGAACGCUGGCGGCGUGCCUAAUACAUGCAAGUCGAACGCAGUGGGGACGGGUGAGUAACACGUGGGUAACCUCCCAUCAGAGGGGGAAACACUGGGAAACAGGUCCUAAACCUAUACUGCUGGUUGACCCCGCGGUGCAUUAGCUAGUUGGUGAGGUAACGGCUCACCAAGGCCACGAUGCAUAGCCGACCUGAGAGGGGGAUCGGCCACACUGGGACUGAGACACGGCCCAGACUCCUACGGGAGGCAGCAGUAGGGAAUCUUCGGCAAUGGACGAAAGUCUGACCGAGCAACGCCGCGUGAGUGAAGAAGGUUUUCGGAUCGUAAAACUCUGUUGUUAGAGAAGCGGUAUCUAACCAGAAAGCCACGGCUAACUACGUGCCAGCAGCCGCGGUAAUUC
rnacentral:rRNA from 1 species